UCGGGGUUCGUCUAAUGGUAGGACAGCGGCCUUUGGAGCCGUUAAUUGGGGUUCGAAUCCCUGACCCCGAG
rnacentral:tRNA from 1 species